GGAGAGGUGGCCGAGUGGCUGAAGGCACUCGCCUGCUAAGCGAGUAGAGGGUUCACGCUCUCUCGAGGGUUCGAAUCCCUCCCUCUCCG
rnacentral:tRNA from 2 species